AUGAAAUGUCAUUUUAGUCUACAGAAUAAAAAAAUAGACUUUAGGAGCCUGUAUCAAAGAGAAUUUGAAAUAGAGGCGUAUUGUCAAAGUAAAUUUUGUAGCCACAGUAAAUUUACUGCCAUCUUUCGACACAUGAUUAAGACUUUUAGAACGC